rnacentral:lncRNA from 1 species
AAGUUGAUUAGAAAUAUUAUAUUAAAAAAAUUAAAAUUAAAUGAAAUUAAAAGUCAAAAGUAAAAAACAAUUGUUUCUAUAUAUUUCUUUUAUAAGAAAAAUAAAAUAUGGAUGGCUGAAGAAUGGAAUUGCGCUAAACUACGAGAUUCUGAAACUUCCUGGUUAAGUUGGUGGUAUCCAUUGGACACAUUUUGAAACACCCACUAAAUUUAAAUUCAAAACACUGGUUUUAAAUUUGUAUAUCUUAAGAUAACAAUUUGAUAAUGUAAAACUCCUAGCCAAAUACGUUACAAAUCUGGAAGCAGGAAGAAAAUGUAGAUCAUAUGUUUUUCCUUUUAUACACUUGAAUUAGAUAUUCAAUAAUAUUUUAAAUAAAACUUGUCUUAAUAGACUACACAAAUGGUUGUAAAUGCAGUAACGAAUUCUUUAACUGGGUACGAUGUUUGUUCAAGAUUCAUAGCUUAGUGUAGAGUUAUUAUAAAUUACAGUGGCCAACAAAAUUUAUAAAAAGUCGAACCCCAGAGACCAAAGUACACUUUUCUAAACUCAAAUUCCUCAUCACAUUAGGAUUGGAGACGCUAUAACAUGGCAAUCACAUCUUUAUAUAUAUUCUUGUGUCGUCUGAAAGUCCAAUCUUCCAAACAUUUCAGCGGAAAAUUCAAAAAGUAUUAUAUAUAUUUCGAUGAAAAAAAGAUAAAUCUGAGGUUAAACCUUUAUUUUAAAGUCGACAGAUCGAACACUAAGACAACAUAACAAAUUUUAUAAAUAAAGAUGUCUUCGCGCUGUUAUAACGGCUCAAAUAUGGCCAAAACGGGAUCUUUUGAUCUUAAAAACACGAUAUCUCGAAGUCAGCUUUGGAUUCAGCGCAGCUCAAUCCUUUAGAAAAAAAUAUGUUGGCCUUUGAGUUAAAAUUUGUUAGCCUGUGUUAUCUAAAACAAAGUAAUUUGUAAAACCAUUUAUUUAAAAUUUAUAAUAAAAUUAA